AUACAUAGGGGGCAAGCGUUGUCCGGAAUGACUGGGCGUAAAGGGUGAGUAGGCGGUUUAGCAAGUCGGAAGUGUAAUACCUGAGCUUAACUUGGGUGCUGCUUCCGAAACUACUGAACUUGAGUGUCGGAGAGGAAAAUGGAAUUCCUAGUGUAGCGGUGGAAUGCGUAGAUAUUAGGAGGAACACCAGAGGCGAAAGCGAUUUUCUGGACGAUAACUGACGCUGAGGCACGAAAGCGUGGGGAGCAAACAGGAUUAGAUACCCUGGUAGUCCACGCUGUAAACGAUGGAUACUAGGUGUAGGGGGUAUCGACUCCCCCUGUACCGUAGCUAACGCAUUAAGUAUCCCGCCUGGGGAGUACGGCCGCAAGGUUGAA
rnacentral:rRNA from 1 species